rnacentral:rRNA from 1 species
UACGAAGGGGGCUAGCGUUGCUCGGAAUGACUGGGCGUAAAGGGCGCGUAGGCGGUUUGCACAGUCAGGCGUGAAAUUCCUGGGCUUAACCUGGGGGCUGCGCUUGAUACGUGUGGACUGGAGUGCGGAAGAGGGUCGUGGAAUUCCCAGUGUAGAGGUGAAAUUCGUAGAUAUUGGGAAGAACACCGGUGGCGAAGGCGGCGACCUGGUCCGUGACUGACGGCUGAGGCGCGAAAGCGUGGGGAGCAAACAGG